rnacentral:ribozyme from 1 species
GAAUAACUUUACCAUGCCGAUCGAUAUAAAUGAACUACGUGAUUACAAGGGCGGUGAUCCCACCAAAUGGAAAAGUUACAACGAAAAACGCUUUAAAUCCCCUGAAAUCGUUGACCA